CUGAGACAGUGUCACUGAACUCAGUAAGGAUCUAUUCAUUAGUUAGGCUUUGUGGUUUUUUCAACUAGAUGUGACAGUAUAACAGCACAGUUAUUGCCUCCUGAAAGAAACAGAUUACCAGAUACUGUCCUUAUUGAAGAGGACAUGGGUUAACAAUUUGGUUGAAAUAGACCAAGUAACAAAGCAUAGGAUGCUAAUUUCCUGCUGACAAGGAACAGCGUUGGGUUUUCUUUUAGAAGUUAGUGUAUGAGGAGUGAUGAUGAGGUUGAUAUGAGACAACAUAACAUUUUCAGAUAUUAUGGCUAUUUCAACUAAAAAUGAGUGAAUCAACUUGGAUAAAUCAAGAGCUAAAUGACCCUUUGUCCAUUACUUGAAUUAAACUCCUGUUGACAUUUGGAAAUGUCAUAACAUUUUCAUGUUUUCAAACCUGUUGUUUCUGGUCUUGCCUACUGCUUUGGGAUGGUCGGACCAAAACAUGGUAAAGGAAUCU